GAAUGGCUGGAUGGUUUUAGUACAGCUCUAGACGUUAGGCCCAUUUGAAAGGAGCUACAGUUUCAACUGAGAAACUGAAACUGUGCAAGAGCAGCACUUGUCAGUGUCACGUGCAGCCGCAGAGCGAUGAGCCCCUUACAGUGAAGCUCAAGGCCAACAUCCUCCCUGCUCUCCCAUGAAAACCACAGGAGACUUAUCUGCGAAGAAAAUUGAAGGGAUCUCCUCUCAAGACCUGACAAAGAAGUCCUUCCUCACCAACUCUGGCAGUACUGACCAAUGUCAAACUUUUGAAGAAAUUGAUGAUGAGAAUAUUAAAGGAAGGAAAUGAAAUGGACUGCAGUGAUACUCACCUAUGGAACCCAGCUACCAUGUUGUAAGGAAUACCAGAUGACAUGGAGAGACGAUGUGUAUGUAUUCCUAUUAACAGCCCCAACUAAGGUCUGAGCUGAUAGCGAGCAUCGACUGCAAGACAUGAGUGAAGAUGUCUUUAGAAGAUGACAGCUUCCAGACUUCAAAUCUUGCAAUUAAGACCCCAAAAAUCACAGAGCAGAGAUACCCUAUCCAAAUUGAUGACCUGUAGAAAC